UAGGAAUACUAGUAAUAGUAGGGCGGAUGUAG
rnacentral:tRNA from 1 species